rfam:Ixodes scapularis strain Wikel colony gcontig_1108379296994, whole genome shotgun sequence.
CCCUGGUUAGCUCAGUUGGUAGAGCGCUCCACUGGAAAUGGAGAGGUCCCGGGUUCGAUACCUGAACCAGACG